rnacentral:rRNA from 1 species
UACGAGGGGGCGAGCGUUGUUCGGAAUUAUUGGGCGUAAAGGGUGCGUAGGCGGUUCCGCAAGUCCUGUGUGAAAUCUUCGGGCUCAACUCGAAGUCUGCACGGGAAACUGCGGGGCUUGAGUGUGGGAGAGGUGAGUGGAAUUCCCGGUGUGAGCGGUGAAAUGCGUAGAUAUCGGGAGGAACACCUGUGGCGAAAGCGGCGCACUGGACCAUAACUGACGCUGAUGCGCGAAAGCUAGGGGAGCAAACAGG